AAUAAUUUCCGAAGGCAACCCGUCGCUAAGUAUUUAAAGUGGAUGCGCCGAGGGAUUGGAUUCAUUUAGAUUUCUAAUUUUACUUUUCUUUCUAACAUCCUCUCCCUAUUGUCUAAUUAGUUCUUUCCUUUUCUUAUUAGAAUAAAUUUAAAAUAGUAAGGACAAGUUUGAUUUUAGGACAAAAGUCUAGGAAGAGAAUUAAGGAAGACAAUGAGAGAAGAAAGGUAG
rnacentral:lncRNA from 1 species